AUUGAACGCUGGCGGCAUGCCUUACACAUGCAAGUCGAACGGCAGCACGGGGGCAACCCUGGUGGCGAGUGGCGAACGGGUGAGUAAUACAUCGGAACGUGUCCUGUAGUGGGGGAUAGCCCGGCGAAAGCCGGAUUAAUACCGCAUACGCUCUACGGAGGAAAGGGGGGGAUCUUAGGACCUCCCGCUACAGGGGCGGCCGAUGGCAGAUUAGCUAGUUGGUGGGGUAAAGGCCUACCAAGGCGACGAUCUGUAGCUGGUCUGAGAGGACGACCAGCCACACUGGGACUGAGACACGGCCCAGACUCCUACGGGAGGCAGCAGUGGGGAACUUUGGACAAUGGGGGCAACCCUGAUCCAGCAAUGCCGCGUGUGUGAAGAAGGCCUUCGGGUUGUAAAGCACUUUUGUCCGGAAAGAAAACGCCGUGGUUAAUACCCGUGGCGGAUGACGGUACCGGAAGAAUAAGCACCGGCUAACUACGUG
rnacentral:rRNA from 1 species